GACGAACGCUGGCGGCGUGCUUAACACAUGCAAGUCGAACGGAAAGGCCCUGCUUUUGUGGGGUGCUCGAGUGGCGAACGGGUGAGUAACACGUGAGUAACCUGCCCUUGACUUUGGGAUAACUUCAGGAAACUGGGGCUAAUACCGGAUAGGAGCUCCUGCUGCAUGGUGGGGGUUGGAAAGUUUCGGCGGUUGGGGAUGGACUCGCGGCUUAUCAGCUUGUUGGUGGGGUAGUGGCUUACCAAGGCUUUGACGGGUAGCCGGCCUGAGAGGGUGACCGGCCACAUUGGGACUGAGAUACCGCCCAGACUCCUACGGGGGGCAGCAGUGGGGAAUAUUGCCCAAUGGGCGGAAGCCUGAUGCAGCAACGCCGCGUGCGGGAUGACGGCCUUCCGGUUGUAAACCGCUUUCGCCUGUUACGAAGCGUGAGUGACGGUAAUGGGUAAAGAAGCACCGGCUAACUACGUG
rnacentral:rRNA from 1 species